ACAUGCAAGUCGAACGAGACCUUCGGGUCUAGUGGCGCACGGGUGCGUAACGCGUGGGAAUCUGCCCUUGGGUUCGGAAUAACGUCGGGAAACUGACGCUAAUACCGGAUGAUGACGAAAGUCCAAAGAUUUAUCGCCCAGGGAUGAGCCCGCGUAGGAUUAGCUAGUUGGUGGGGUAAAGGCUCACCAAGGCUACGAUCCUUAGCUGGUCUGAGAGGAUGAUCAGCCACACUGGGACUGAGACACGGCCCAGACUCCUACGGGAGGCAGCAGUAGGGAAUAUUGGACAAUGGGGGCAACCCUGAUCCAGCAAUGCCGCGUGAGUGAUGAAGGCCUUAGGGUUGUAAAGCUCUUUUACCCGAGAUGAUAAUGACAGUAUCGGGAGAAUAAGCUCCGGCUAACUCCGUGCCAGCAGCCGCGGUAAUACGGAGGGAGCUAGCGUUGUUCGGAAUUACUGGGCGUAAAGCGCACGUAGGCGGCGAUUUAAGUCAGAGGUGAAAGCCCGGGGCUCAACCCCGGAACUGCCUUUGAGACUGGAUUGCUAGAAUCUUGGAGAGGCGGGUGGAAUUCCGAGUGUAGAGGUGAAAUUCGUAGAUAUUCGGAAGAACACCAGUGGCGAAGGCGGCCCGCUGGACAAGUAUUGACGCUGAGGUGCG
rnacentral:rRNA from 1 species